rnacentral:rRNA from 1 species
UACGUAGGGUGCAAGCGUUGUCCGGAAUUAUUGGGCGUAAAGAGCUCGUAGGCGGUUUGUCGCGUCUGCUGUGAAAUCCGGAGGCUCAACCUCCGGCCUGCAGUGGGUACGGGCAGACUAGAGUGCGGUAGGGGAGAUUGGAAUUCCUGGUGUAGCGGUGGAAUGCGCAGAUAUCAGGAGGAACACCAAUGGCGAAGGCAGAUCUCUGGGCCGUAACUGACGCUGAGGAGCGAAAGCAUGGGGAGCGAACAGG